AUGGGCCAGAAUAUUUGUUAUGGGCUGCUACAAGUUGGACCUCGCGCCUGCCUUCCCCUCCCCUCUAUUAUGGCUGAGGCAAACAGAGUUUGCUUAAAAUUAGUCCCACCCUGCUCUUUUAAAUCAAAUCCUAGCAACUUAUAUACCUUCGGAGUUGUGGGAAUCAACAAGCCAGGAAAAGAGGGUGAGAUAUGGGUCAUGUUUAUAUCUUACAAAAGUGAAGAAAGAUGCGAUGCAUCACCAACCGCAAAUGCUGAAGCUGACCCGCAAAGGUUGGGUUGUGAGGAAAGUCACGAACAAAUAAAAAGCAGCAUCGGAUGCCUAGACAAGGAGGGAAGAGAGCCAAAAUCUGAAUACUGA
rnacentral:rRNA from 1 species